AACGAACGCUGGCGGCAGGCCUAACACAUGCAAGUCGAGCGAGGACUUCGGUCUUAGCGGCGGACGGGGGGGUAACGCGGGGGAACGUGCCCUUUGCUUCGGAAUAGCUCUGGGAAACUGGGCGUAAUACCGGAGGAGCCCUUUGGGGGAAAGAUUUAUCGGCGAAGGAUGGGCCCGCGUUGGAUUAGGUAGUUGGUGGGGUAAUGGCCUACCAAGCCGUCGAUCCCUAGCUGGUUUGAGAGGAUGGUCAGCCACACUGGGACUGAGACACGGCCCAGACUCCUACGGAAGGGAGCAGUGGGGAAUCUUAGACAAUGGGGGAAACCCUGAUCUAGCCAUGCCGCGUGAGCGAUGAAGGCCUUAGGGAAGUAAAGCUCUUUCAGCUGGGAAGAUAAUGACGGUACCAGCAGAAGAAGCCCCGGCUAACUACGUG
rnacentral:rRNA from 1 species